CUUAGCCAACGACACGUGCCU
rnacentral:siRNA from 1 species